rnacentral:tRNA from 1 species
ACCUGGGUGGCUCAGUGGUUGAGCGUCUGACUUCGGCUCAGGUCAGGAUCUCUGGUUUGUGAGUUCAAUCCCCACGUCAGGCU